GCCUGGCUAGCUCAGUCGCUAGAGCAUAGGACUCUUAAUCCCAAGGUUGUGGGUUUGUGCCCCAUUUGGGUG
rnacentral:tRNA from 1 species